rnacentral:lncRNA from 1 species
CCAGAAUCGCACAAGUCCUCAUUUACAAAAAAGAUCACAUACUUGUCCCAUUAGUGCUGGAAGACAUUUACCGAGCAUUAACAUUGUGCAAAUCUGGGGGUCAAUUGUUUCAAGGUUGCAACAUCCUUAUUCAGAUGUAGAUGAUCAAACACAUUCGCCGUCAGCCUUCAUAAGAUAUUUUUAAGAAGGGAACAAUUUCAUCAAAAUGUAUGAGGAAAGGGUGGAGGAUUACAAA